UACGUAGGCAGCAAGCGUUGUUCGGAAUUAUUGGGCGUAAAGAGCUCGUAGGCGGUCUGUCGCGUCUGCUGUGAAAACUCAGGGCUUAACCCUGAGCUUGCAGUGGGUACGGGCAGACUAGAGUGCGGUAGGGGAGACUGGAAUUCCUGGUGUAGCGGUGAAAUGCGCAGAUAUCAGGAGGAACACCGGUGGCGAAGGCGGGUCUCUGGGCCGUAACUGACGCUGAGACACGAAAGCGUGGGUAGCAAACAGG
rnacentral:rRNA from 1 species